rnacentral:lncRNA from 1 species
GCCCGAGGAUGCCCAACACUGGUUUCACCCUCACCUCCCGGACAUUGAAGAUGACAGGGAAUUGCACCAUGCCGUGGGAGUGGAAUGAGGAUGCUGUUGUCACUUCAGAUGAACUAUGGCAUGCAAACACCAUGGAGAGUCUCCCUCAUGACAUUGUGAUGCUCCCAUUGCUGAGUAUGGAUAAGGCCAAUGUUGCGCACCUUUCAUUGCUUGACUGGGAUGGUGGCAGAUUCUCAUUAGUUUCCAUCGACUUGAGUAACAUGCAAGUGAUGGGCUCAGUCAUUACAUACCUCGAAGGGGAGGAUGAUCCUGCUGAUGCUGACAUCGUCAAGGCAAAGAAAGAAUUAUGUGCACACUUUAUUCCAUCCGAAUUCCCCAAGUUCCUGGGUCUCAGGUAACUUCAGCGUUGCCUCCCACUUUUACUUGAGCACAAUUUUUUUUCAUGCAGCCUUUUGCUCUCUUUUUUUCAGCAGUUAAGGUUUCUGCCAUGUUAUUCUUGAAACCUUUGAGGAAUCAACAGAAUGUGCUGGUUGCUGGGAGUAAUAUGGAUCAAUGUUUUCAAAUCUUUAUGUUGAGUCUAGUCGCUGGGGCACCAACUAGAUGGCUAAUCGUGACUAGGCAACGAUUAAAUUGCGAUUAGCUCUGAGACCAGUCGAUCCACCCUUGCCUAUAGUAGAGAAUGAUAGAGUAUAACACAAAGGUGACGAACUGAUCUCUUGGUUUGAGCCAACACAUAAUUGUUCUUUGUGGGUUCUUCAAUCUGAAAGUGCAUAAUAGCGUGCCAGCGUUGUGCUCUGUUUCCUUCACUAUUUUGAUUCUACAUGUCAAAUUAUUGAAAGGUUUUGUUCGGUUACCAACAACAUGGAUCCUUAGAAGUAGGUGGCACCCAGCGAAUCAGCAUCAUAUCGAAGAACCCCUAGGUCUUCUAAACAAACUGGCUGGAAUUGUGGAAAUCAAUUGAACUUAAUUAUAUCCAUAGUGCCUUCCUUGUAUAUCAUGUUUCAUUCAGCCAGUAGUAACCUCAGCAACUUGACGGUCUUGGGAAAUUAGGCAAUGGUAGUCUGCCCGAGGUUAAUAUAAAUGUUUCACAGCUUAAUCUGUUGCCUAACUGUUGCUUGUCACGUUGAUUCCAAAAUCGACCAUAUGCUAAGUUAUUUUUUCUGUAUGAUGUCCGAGACACCUGAGAAUCUUUUAUAAUUCUUGGUAACCAUGGAUACUGUCAAAAUAACUUCAGCAAUGGGUGAAUCUAAGACUAUGGGAAGCCUAAAUUUCAAUUUGUACAGAUUAUCUCUGCUGAAAAAUUGUUGAAAUCAUCAGCAUGUGCUGUAGCUGACAAUUAUUGUUUCCUAUUUGUAUUGAUGAAGUUCUUGCUACUGUAUUGCAGGGAGAGAGAGAACCAUCCAUAAGUCCUGUCACCAUAUCGGCUGGCCACCGUCGUCAUGUGUGUUGCUUCUUCAUUUUCCGGUUCUUAGAUGACGUUGUGCUGGAUUCUACUGCCGACUUUGUUGAUUGGCUACUUCAAUUCUGAGUUUAGUGCUCAGCCUUUGUGUGUUCCCUGCACUUGUGUACUAUAAAUAGCCAGGAAAAACACCUUUACCAGGCUCAUCCGUUGAACUAUAUGAUAAUGCUAGAUGAUGUGUCCAUGCCUUGCUAACGUCUUCUAAAUGCCAUGCGAGUUAAAAAUCCUGCAAUCAUGUUUCAUGGUAGCUUACCUUUGCACAAUGAAACUCCUCACUAAAAACACAGGUCAAUUUGAGGGACUAUUGUGUUAUUUUUACAGGGAUCUAAUGCCAUCAAUCAAAUUGUAAAAUACAGACAGGUGCGCGUGGAAUGGACACUUGUGUUCAUUCAGAUUUUUGUGAUAUUUCAUACCUAAUGAUUACCAGGUUGUCACGCCCCUACAUGCAAAAUUGGUCUACGAGAUGGGAUAUGAGCUCAAAAGGACGUGAGAGCUGUAUUAUCAUGUAGCUCAUGACCUGGCAGAAGUGAAUAGUUGCACGAAAUACAACAUUGCAAACAAGGUUUUAUUCAUUCUCUCUGCCGAUGGCACACGGUAGCAGAAGCAGUGCCACCAAUUGGUGAAAGAUUUUCAGUAAACUGAGUGUUUGACAGAACAAUAUGAUGCCACCAAAGCAAUCUGCAUGAGUUCUCUACCUCCGGAAGUCCAGAUGCUUGCUCUGUUUCAUUGCUGUAGCUCAUGGCAACUCUGGCAGCACCAUGGUCAUUUGCUGCACCAUUUUUCAGAAUAUGUAAAAUUCAAGUCAUACCAUGCAGUUGAUGGAGAUAAAGAUAUGCUCCAAAUGAAAUGAUUAAAAAAACAAUCAUAUUUAUUCUUCAGGCACCACUGGAACUCAUUCCCGAUGUCACUUGUCUCUGCCUGUGCCUACAUCGAGGAAGUAGCAUGCGAAUGAGAAAGAUGAAGAUAAGUACCAAGAGGUAAAUGUAUUCACUUGUCUCUGCAUGUGCCUACAUCGAGGAAGUAGCAUGCGAAUGAGAAAGACGAAGAUAAGUACCAAGAGGUAAAUACAUUCUUGAGAUAAAUAGAUAAAUAAAACCAAGGACCAGCGCGUGAAAAUAAGUACUCCGUUUAAGAUACUAUAUGCACAAUAAUCUUUACUCGUACAUAUUUUCUGUACAGCCAUGUACAAAGUUCAGCUCACUGUCAAGAGGUACACCAUACGACUGCAAGCUCAAAGAAUAGAAGAUUAUUACACACCACCCAAACUCUACCUUUUGUACAUCAGGUGCUCGAGAAACAUACAUUGGACGAGUAGAAUAAAAGUUAUGAAUCAUAUCAACAAUUCCAGUUAAAUACGGUGUUUCCGAAACAACCAACCGUUCUUGGGCGUAAUCUUCCUGACACUAUCCUGGAGAAACUGGAGCGUGCCUGGAGACAUGUGAGCCCUGUCCAUUGUGUUAACCUUCGCCGCCUUUCGAGGGGACAAGGCACACUGCAUUGCCCAGAUUGCAAGGGGGCGCAUAUAUAUCAAUGACCUAUAGUGGCCAUCCACUGUCCAUGCUUCUGGAGUUUGAAACCAGUACCUGAAUUUGUCAAGGAAAUUGAUUAUUAAUUAUUAGCAUAAAUAGGUCCAAUAAUGUGACUCCAUUUCUGUUACGAAACAAAUCGAUGAAUGCGCUGAAUCCAAGAUAGUGCGAUCAUAAAAGAACUAUAUCCAUUGCCAGUAACAAUAAAUAAUCUUAGCAGUCUUAAGCAGCAUUAACUUCGCAUACUGCAGGAAAAUGCACAGUAAUAUCUAAACCCUUUAUGACUUUAUCUCAUACUAUUACUUAACCAUUGUCAUCUCAAAGGACGAACUAGUAUAUGAGAACUACUCACAUUACUAUGCAUAUCAUGUACCGGGAAAAUGAUGCUAGGACUGGAACUUCUAUAUAGCGAAACAAAACAAGAAGCAUACUCAUAGCCCUCUUCAGACCAUCCUGAAAUAUAAAUGCCUUCUGCAGCAGUGAAGGCCUGAUGCUCCAUUCCAUGAAGCAGCAUCGUUGCAGCUAAACUAUAUGUUACUCCUGUCCAUAUUUCCGUUGACUGCAUACAGGUUUCAUCUACCUUCCCGUUCGGAUGCAUACCGUUCACGGCUCCCAUACGUCCUCCUUUCACCCUCAUCACAUUAUAGUCAAAUAUUUUCUGAAGCGUGCAUUUUAUCCUAUCCUCAUCAAAUAGAGGAUGAUGCAGUAUACCAUUGUCCAGCCAGCUGGUCUGCCUGGAUAGAACGGCUACUGUAACUUGUUCCACCGUCAUAAUUGAAGUAUGAACAAUUCCAGAAUCUGGCUUCAAAUACGGAUUUAGCUUUUGCAAAUCUUACCAUGCACCUCUCAGCAUAGUCAUCAUGUCCAAGGCUGCGGGCCAGUGCGGCUGCAGCUUGCAGUGCAGUUCGAAGGCAAAGGCAACCAGUACGCACUUACUCCUUGAACUAUCCAAGCAUCAUAAGUUUGAUCAGGAAAUCCAUCAUUUUCAAUCAUACCAUCACUAUCAUGAUCAAAUUGUUCCAUAUAUUCCGUAGCAGUACAAACUGCAGGCCAGACAUCCUUGCCAAAUGACAUAUCACCUGUUGCAGAAAAAUCUCUGUAAAUCUGAAGCACGAACUUGUGUCAUGGAUGUUGUAAGCAUUCAAUUCAUGCCAUUGAUCAUGUGCUCCAAGGUCACGGGCGACAGCACCAAUUACUUUACGAAUCCCCCAGGUACCAUCAGCAAGAAAUCUGACUCUACUGUUAUCUUCCCGCAAAACAGCUCUUGCAAAAUCACGUUGAAUGCUUUAUUCAAUCUUAGGAAACAGAUCCAAAAGAGCAAAAGAGGCAUAGCAAUGUACAUUGUAAGUGCACCACAUGAAGUACUCUAUUCCUUCCAGGUACAAAAACUUCCCAACGUUUUCUUUGUCAUCGAUCUCAUGUGGGUCAAAACCGAUUAGGGGAGCUGUAGAAUUGCAACUGCUAUCACGAAGUGAUGAAUCACUGUCCUCAAGGAGACUUGAAUUUGACUUGUUAUCAGCAUCAACCACCAAAGAUUCACUAUCUGUCAUGUUCGGAAAUAAAAAGGUUUCACUAUCUCAGAGUAAAAACAAUACAACAUAUAGAUACCGAAAGUUGCAAAUGAUCAUCAGAUUAGUAGUUGUAAAAAUUAAAGUAUCAUUUUUGUAUUGUCACCUUCUAUGAGAGAAGGUAAUCAGACCAAUAAAUUGACAGCCCAGAAGAUCAGAACAUUGGGAUUUGUAUCUAGAGAUAUUCUGCUCUUGAAUCAAUCUAGUAUUAUGUUUCUCUUUACUUUAUUCCAAAAUAAUUUGAUCAUUAAAAAUAGAAUCUACAUAUCAACAACAUGCACAUCACAAAUUUUUCAAGCAAUGCUUUCAUAGUAACAUGGUCAAAGCAGUACUCCAUAAAGAAUUUAUAGUGAAUAUGGAUCAUUGAAGGACAGAAGAAGAAAACUUAAUGUGCAUAUUGCCUAUUUAUUUUAUACUGCUUCCCAGAAGAGAACACUCAAAUGGAAGCUAAACGCAGGAUAAUCUCUUAGAAAAUGCUAAGUUAAUUGCUGAAUUCCAGUAAUGUAUAUAUCCAAAAUCAUCAAGCUCUUUGUGUUACUUGCAGGCUAAAUACGACUGAGAGUAGAAAAUUGGAGAAAGGAAAAAGAGUAACAAUACAUGCAGAGAUUAGUACCAAUCCAAACAGUUCCUCCAGCAACUAGGAAGUACAGCUCAUUGAAGAGAGUAAUCAGUCAAACAGGUUAGCAUAUAGUUAUGAGACAUUGGUUAUAUGCAGAUGAAGGAAAACGUUAACAUGCAUUGUCCAACAACUCUUCAAGGUUUCUACUAAAGGAAUCAAGAAGUAUUUUUUUUAACAACUGACUUGAGUUGUCUCAAUCCCAAUUUGGUUUUGUCAUGAUUGUCACCAAGUUAGGAAUAAAGAAUUUACCUGUAGUAUGCACUUCCUUUUUUAAAUUUAACCUUAGGAGAAGACCAAGCUAAUGCGGAUACGACUGUACAUCUUCCAUGUGGUUCAACCCAGGUGGAAGCAGAAACUGCUGCACAAACUGUAUCACCCAGUGAAGAAAGCAUGCUGGCACCAGCAUUGAAAUUAUCUCGCUCAAAGGAACCAUACUUUACACAUUGAAACUUCAAUCAUUUCAUUAUUUCAAAAAGGAAAGUAGUUCCACACAAGAUUUGCCUUUGAUGCGCUAGAAUACAAUAAUCUCAGAAACAAGAUUGUUUGGGUUUGGGCACAUUUUGGUCAAUACCCCAGGUUUCAGCACGCCCGUGGGCCGUGGUAACAGCAAUGAAUGGGCCAUCGUGGCCACCUGACUCGCCCGCCUUCAUAUUGUCACCCAUGAACACAAUGCCAGAUGCAUUAAAUGGAGGAAAUUCAGAGCGUGUAGACAUUGCUUCAGGUUCAACUUCAAUCCAUUGUCCAGUUUCAUGCUUCUGCUUCCACAGUUCAACAAAAUGGGAACAUGCCUUCCUAUUCAAUCAGCCAAAUUGAGGAAGUUAGCAUGAAAGAUGUCUGAUAAGAUGUACGUUAUAGUUUGAUGAAAUGACUAAACUUGUGUCGUUGUACAAAUUGAUGAACAAGUUCAAGAGAAGUAUUAAGACGGGAGCAUGGAAUAGUACAGUUUUCCACAGCUCAUGUUUCUCGUCUGAAUAAACCUUAUAAAACAUCUGAGGUAUCCACACUAUCCUGACAUGCUAAAGCAGAUGAUACAAGCGACAUGGGUAGGAGCCUCAAGAUCAAGCUAAAAGUACGAAAGAUAUUACGAUAACUAGCUCAGUCUAGCAUACAAAAACACUUGAGUAGUCUCAUUAUUCUUUGUUGCUCAGGAAAUUUGGAAGCACAGAAAUAGCCCGAUCUUCCGAUAGGUAUGGAUAAUUCGAUUGGUGGAGAACUCGAUGCUGAUAAUCCGAGCUUCUAAUCAGACACGAUUCGAACCCCUGCAACCGCUACACUGUUGCUCCGUUGGUUAUCAACCAAACACAACUCGAUUGACCUCGCCAAGAAGUUUUUCCCUGCAAGCGAAUCGAAAAACAUAAGAAAAAAGUAUAAACACGCAAUCUAAGAUUGCAGAUGUAUAUAAUAGAUCUAAGUAAAAGGUUCAAGCCCUCGAUUCAAAAGGACCAAUCGACACUAUCGAGGAGAUCGAGAACAGGAGCCUUGAAUCACAGUGAAAGGGCUUGUCGCCACAGUUACAAUAUAUUAAUCUCAGUUUCUCAAAGGAGAACUAGAACUAAACAAAACCCGAGUCUCUUAGGUGGGGGAGGCUACUAAGUUUAUAUGAAAAAGGGGCAAGCUAGGGUUGGGGACGACCAGGAGAGGGACGCCUACAACAUGGGCUUAAAGCCCGACUCAACUUGGCCCAAGUAACAUAUAUAUAAAUUAACAAGUAGAGAUACUAUACGAAUUAACCAAACUAAAACUAUAUAUAGUAAAUGGGCACGGGCUAAAAGUAAUAUAUGAUUUUGAGCUAAAUAAAUAUAGGGUUGGGUUGUGAAGGAGAUAUGGAUCUCGUAGCCACGAGUGAACCUGAGAGCUUAAAAAAACAGAGAGCGCCACACAUCGAUUAAAAGGUGGGCCGAAACAGAUAAAAGAUAAAAAAAGAAUCAUAUCGGCCCACAAUGAAAUGUUAAACAGAAGAACGCAAAUCUUGAAAACAUAUGGGUCGUUCAAAACCGACGGGCUAAUCUUUCUACGUGCUGGGCUGAUCCCAUGUGGGCCGAUACAGACACGUCAGGACAAGAAGACCCACCCGGCCAGGCCCAGACGCAGGAGACAAGAGAUUGAAGAGGAUAGAUCGAAUCAAUAGCCAACUCCUCUCGUCGUCCUCGUCUCCAAAUCGAGGCAUACCCCAACCCUAGCCAUCCCCAAUCCGGCCGCCGCGUCUACCGAUCCGUUAGAUCCAUGGCCGCCGCCGCCGCCGCCGCUGCCGGCGACUCCGCUGUACCCAACUGGGUGAUGCUGGAGCGCUGGGCCUUCCGGAGGGACGACCCCGCCUCCUUCCGCGAGGACAGGAGGACCUUCGCUUCCGGCACCACCUCCGCCGGCACUCAAUUCGACGUCUCCUUCAUCCUCGCCGAGCCUCCCACCCCCUCGCGCCUCUACCUCUCGUGGCCGGAAGGGCCCAAGAAGGGGGGCCAGGGCCUGGUCAUGGCGGCCAACCGCAACCUCGUCCUCUUCAGGCUCGACUCCCUCGUCGACGAAUCCGAGCCUUUCGGGGAGGUAGUGCAUGAUUACUUCAUCUACAUAGCUGAUCCCUCCUCACAGCAGACACCCCUGCUCAGACUGCUGCCCCCCUGCACCGAGUACAACGUUUAUUUUGAGAUGCAAGAUACUCGCGCGUUUCCGGUGCUGGCUGUUGGUCUGUUGUGCCAUGGCGAAGACGAGUUUGCCGUGGCGCAUCUGACCAUCAGGUCUCGCAAAAAAAAAUCAGGGUCUCGCAUAAAAAAAUCAGCUAUGCAAGCUGAGCUAUGCGUGCUACGCUCGUCAUUGUCCUGCAGUGAUGAUGCCAAAUGGGAGACCAAGGUCGUUCCGCUACAGUACCAAUACGAUGAUUUAUACUAUGAUUUUCUGAACUGGGAAGUGGAUGGUGUAGUUCCCUUCAAGAAUGCCUUGUGCUGGGUUAACUACUGUAGAGGCAUCCUUUUCUGCGACGGCGUCUUUGAAGACAGACCCAAGGUCUCCUACAUCCGCUUGCCUCUGGAUACUUCUUUCCGAGGGACUGGGACUGAUGCCGAUGCACUCAAGGGGAUGUACCGUGGCUUGUGUGUCACUGAAGGUGGCCAUCGGUUGGUAUUUGUUGAUGUUGCCCGUCAUGAUGGAAAAUGUUAUGGCCCGAGGAUGCCCAACACUGGUUUCACCCUCACCUCCCGGACAUUGAAGAUGACAGGGAAUUGCACCAUGCCGUGGGAGUGGAAUGAGGAUGCUGUUGUCACUUCAGAUGAACUAUGGCAUGCAAACACCAUGGAGAGUCUCCCUCAUGACAUUGUGAUGCUCCCAUUGCUGAGUAUGGAUAAGGCCAAUGUUGCGCACCUUUCAUUGCUUGACUGGGAUGGUGGCAGAUUCUCAUUAGUUUCCAUCGACUUGAGUAACAUGCAAGUGAUGGGCUCAGUCAUUACAUACCUCGAAGGGGAGGAUGAUCCUGCUGAUGCUGACAUCGUCAAGGCAAAGAAAGAAUUAUGUGCACACUUUAUUCCAUCCGAAUUCCCCAAGUUCCUGGGUCUCAGGUAACUUCAGCGUUGCCUCCCACUUUUACUUGAGCACAAUUUUUUUUCAUGCAGCCUUUUGCUCUCUUUUUUUCAGCAGUUAAGGUUUCUGCCAUGUUAUUCUUGAAACCUUUGAGGAAUCAACAGAAUGUGCUGGUUGCUGGGAGUAAUAUGGAUCAAUGUUUUCAAAUCUUUAUGUUGAGUCUAGUCGCUGGGGCACCAACUAGAUGGCUAAUCGUGACUAGGCAACGAUUAAAUUGCGAUUAGCUCUGAGACCAGUCGAUCCACCCUUGCCUAUAGUAGAGAAUGAUAGAGUAUAACACAAAGGUGACGAACUGAUCUCUUGGUUUGAGCCAACACAUAAUUGUUCUUUGUGGGUUCUUCAAUCUGAAAGUGCAUAAUAGCGUGCCAGCGUUGUGCUCUGUUUCCUUCACUAUUUUGAUUCUACAUGUCAAAUUAUUGAAAGGUUUUGUUCGGUUACCAACAACAUGGAUCCUUAGAAGUAGGUGGCACCCAGCGAAUCAGCAUCAUAUCGAAGAACCCCUAGGUCUUCUAAACAAACUGGCUGGAAUUGUGGAAAUCAAUUGAACUUAAUUAUAUCCAUAGUGCCUUCCUUGUAUAUCAUGUUUCAUUCAGCCAGUAGUAACCUCAGCAACUUGACGGUCUUGGGAAAUUAGGCAAUGGUAGUCUGCCCGAGGUUAAUAUAAAUGUUUCACAGCUUAAUCUGUUGCCUAACUGUUGCUUGUCACGUUGAUUCCAAAAUCGACCAUAUGCUAAGUUAUUUUUUCUGUAUGAUGUCCGAGACACCUGAGAAUCUUUUAUAAUUCUUGGUAACCAUGGAUACUGUCAAAAUAACUUCAGCAAUGGGUGAAUCUAAGACUAUGGGAAGCCUAAAUUUCAAUUUGUACAGAUUAUCUCUGCUGAAAAAUUGUUGAAAUCAUCAGCAUGUGCUGUAGCUGACAAUUAUUGUUUCCUAUUUGUAUUGAUGAAGUUCUUGCUACUGUAUUGCAGGGAGAGAGAGAACCAUCCAUAAGUCCUGUCACCAUAUCGGCUGGCCACCGUCGUCAUGUGUGUUGCUUCUUCAUUUUCCGGUUCUUAGAUGACGUUGUGCUGGAUUCUACUGCCGACUUUGUUGAUUGGCUACUUCAAUUCUGAGUUUAGUGCUCAGCCUUUGUGUGUUCCCUGCACUUGUGUACUAUAAAUAGCCAGGAAAAACACCUUUACCAGGCUCAUCCGUUGAACUAUAUGAUAAUGCUAGAUGAUGUGUCCAUGCCUUGCUAACGUCUUCUAAAUGCCAUGCGAGUUAAAAAUCCUGCAAUCAUGUUUCAUGGUAGCUUACCUUUGCACAAUGAAACUCCUCACUAAAAACACAGGUCAAUUUGAGGGACUAUUGUGUUAUUUUUACAGGGAUCUAAUGCCAUCAAUCAAAUUGUAAAAUACAGACAGGUGCGCGUGGAAUGGACACUUGUGUUCAUUCAGAUUUUUGUGAUAUUUCAUACCUAAUGAUUACCAGGUUGUCACGCCCCUACAUGCAAAAUUGGUCUACGAGAUGGGAUAUGAGCUCAAAAGGACGUGAGAGCUGUAUUAUCAUGUAGCUCAUGACCUGGCAGAAGUGAAUAGUUGCACGAAAUACAACAUUGCAAACAAGGUUUUAUUCAUUCUCUCUGCCGAUGGCACACGGUAGCAGAAGCAGUGCCACCAAUUGGUGAAAGAUUUUCAGUAAACUGAGUGUUUGACAGAACAAUAUGAUGCCACCAAAGCAAUCUGCAUGAGUUCUCUACCUCCGGAAGUCCAGAUGCUUGCUCUGUUUCAUUGCUGUAGCUCAUGGCAACUCUGGCAGCACCAUGGUCAUUUGCUGCACCAUUUUUCAGAAUAUGUAAAAUUCAAGUCAUACCAUGCAGUUGAUGGAGAUAAAGAUAUGCUCCAAAUGAAAUGAUUAAAAAAACAAUCAUAUUUAUUCUCCAGGCACCACUGGAACUCAUUCCCGAUGUCACUUGUCUCUGCCUGUGCCUACAUCGAGGAAGUAGCAUGCGAAUGAGAAAGAUGAAGAUAAGUACCAAGAGGUAAAUGUAUUCACUUGUCUCUGCAUGUGCCUACAUCGAGGAAGUAGCAUGCGAAUGAGAAAGACGAAGAUAAGUACCAAGAGGUAAAUACAUUCUUGAGAUAAAUAGAUAAAUAAAACCAAGGACCAGCGCGUGAAAAUAAGUACUCCGUUUAAGAUACUAUAUGCACAAUAAUCUUUACUCGUACAUAUUUUCUGUACAGCCAUGUACAAAGUUCAGCUCACUGUCAAGAGGUACACCAUACGACUGCAAGCUCAAAGAAUAGAAGAUUAUUACACACCACCCAAACUCUACCUUUUGUACAUCAGGUGCUCGAGAAACAUACAUUGGACAAGUAGAAUAAAAGUUAUAAAUCAUAUCAACAAUUCCAGUUAAAUACGGUGUUUCCGAAACAACCAACCGUUCUUGGGCGUAAUCUUCCUGACACUAUCCUGGAGAAACUGGAGCGUGCCUGGAGACAUGUGAGCCCUGUCCAUUGUGUUAACCUUCGCCGCCUUUCGAGGGGACAAGGCACACUGCAUUGCCCAGAUUGCAAGGGGGCGCAUGUAUAUCAAUGACCUAUAGUGGCCAUCCACUGUCCAUGCUUCUGGAGUUUGAAACCAGUACCUGAAUUUGUCAAGGAAAUUGAUUAUUAAUUAUUAGCAUAAAUAGGUCCAAUAAUGUGACUCCAUUUCUGUUACGAAACAAAUCGAUGAAUGCGCUGAAUCCAAGAUAGUGCGAUCAUAAAAGAACUAUAUCCAUUGCCAGUAACAAUAAAUAAUCUUAGCAGUCUUAAGCAGCAUUAACUUCGCAUACUGCAGGAAAAUGCACAGUAAUAUCUAAACCCUUUAUGACUUUAUCUCAUACUAUUACUUAACCAUUGUCAUCUCAAAGGACGAACUAGUAUAUGAGAACUACUCACAUUACUAUGCAUAUCAUGUACCGGGAAAAUGAUGCUAGGACUGGAACUUCUAUAUAGCGAAACAAAACAAGAAGCAUACUCAUAGCCCUCUUCAGACCAUCCUGAAAUAUAAAUGCCUUCUGCAGCAGUGAAGGCCUGAUGCUCCAUUCCAUGAAGCAGCAUCGUUGCAGCUAAACUAUAUGUUACUCCUGUCCAUAUUUCCGUUGACUGCAUACAGGUUUCAUCUACCUUCCCGUUCGGAUGCAUACCGUUCACGGCUCCCAUACGUCCUCCUUUCACCCUCAUCACAUUAUAGUCAAAUAUUUUCUGAAGCGUGCAUUUUAUCCUAUCCUCAUCAAAUAGAGGAUGAUGCAGUAUACCAUUGUCCAGCCAGCUGGUCUGCCUGGAUAGAACGGCUACUGUAACUUGUUCCACCGUCAUAAUUGAAGUAUGAACAAUUCCAGAAUCUGGCUUCAAAUACGGAUUUAGCUUUUGCAAAUCUUACCAUGCACCUCUCAGCAUAGUCAUCAUGUCCAAGGCUGCGGGCCAGUGCGGCUGCAGCUUGCAGUGCAGUUCGAAGGCAAAGGCAACCAGUACGCACUUACUCCUUGAACUAUCCAAGCAUCAUAAGUUUGAUCAGGAAAUCCAUCAUUUUCAAUCAUACCAUCACUAUCAUGAUCAAAUUGUUCCAUAUAUUCCGUAGCAGUACAAACUGCAGGCCAGACAUCCUUGCCAAAUGACAUAUCACCUGUUGCAGAAAAAUCUCUGUAAAUCUGAAGCACGAACUUGUGUCAUGGAUGUUGUAAGCAUUCAAUUCAUGCCAUUGAUCAUGUGCUCCAAGGUCACGGGCGACAGCACCAAUUACUUUACGAAUCCCCCAGGUACCAUCAGCAAGAAAUCUGACUCUACUGUUAUCUUCCCGCAAAACAGCUCUUGCAAAAUCACGUUGAAUGCUUUAUUCAAUCUUAGGAAACAGAUCCAAAAGAGCAAAAGAGGCAUAGCAAUGUACAUUGUAAGUGCACCACAUGAAGUACUCUAUUCCUUCCAGGUACAAAAACUUCCCAACGUUUUCUUUGUCAUCGAUCUCAUGUGGGUCAAAACCGAUUAGGGGAGCUGUAGAAUUGCAACUGCUAUCACGAAGUGAUGAAUCACUGUCCUCAAGGAGACUUGAAUUUGACUUGUUAUCAGCAUCAACCACCAAAGAUUCACUAUCUGUCAUGUUCGGAAAUAAAAAGGUUUCACUAUCUCAGAGUAAAAACAAUACAACAUAUAGAUACCGAAAGUUGCAAAUGAUCAUCAGAUUAGUAGUUGUAAAAAUUAAAGUAUCAUUUUUGUAUUGUCACCUUCUAUGAGAGAAGGUAAUCAGACCAAUAAAUUGACAGCCCAGAAGAUCAGAACAUUGGGAUUUGUAUCUAGAGAUAUUCUGCUCUUGAAUCAAUCUAGUAUUAUGUUUCUCUUUACUUUAUUCCAAAAUAAUUUGAUCAUUAAAAAUAGAAUCUACAUAUCAACAACAUGCACAUCACAAAUUUUUCAAGCAAUGCUUUCAUAGUAACAUGGUCAAAGCAGUACUCCAUAAAGAAUUUAUAGUGAAUAUGGAUCAUUGAAGGACAGAAGAAGAAAACUUAAUGUGCAUAUUGCCUAUUUAUUUUAUACUGCUUCCCAGAAGAGAACACUCAAAUGGAAGCUAAACGCAGGAUAAUCUCUUAGAAAAUGCUAAGUUAAUUGCUGAAUUCCAGUAAUGUAUAUAUCCAAAAUCAUCAAGCUCUUUGUGUUACUUGCAGGCUAAAUACGACUGAGAGUAGAAAAUUGGAGAAAGGAAAAAGAGUAACAAUACAUGCAGAGAUUAGUACCAAUCCAAACAGUUCCUCCAGCAACUAGGAAGUACAGCUCAUUGAAGAGAGUAAUCAGUCAAACAGGUUAGCAUAUAGUUAUGAGACAUUGGUUAUAUGCAGAUGAAGGAAAACGUUAACAUGCAUUGUCCAACAACUCUUCAAGGUUUCUACUAAAGGAAUCAAGAAGUAUUUUUUUUAACAACUGACUUGAGUUGUCUCAAUCCCAAUUUGGUUUUGUCAUGAUUGUCACCAAGUUAGGAAUAAAGAAUUUACCUGUAGUAUGCACUUCCUUUUUUAAAUUUAACCUUAGGAGAAGACCAAGCUAAUGCGGAUACGACUGUACAUCUUCCAUGUGGUUCAACCCAGGUGGAAGCAGAAACUGCUGCACAAACUGUAUCACCCAGUGAAGAAAGCAUGCUGGCACCAGCAUUGAAAUUAUCUCGCUCAAAGGAACCAUACUUUACACAUUGAAACUUCAAUCAUUUCAUUAUUUCAAAAAGGAAAGUAGUUCCACACAAGAUUUGCCUUUGAUGCGCUAGAAUACAAUAAUCUCAGAAACAAGAUUGUUUGGGUUUGGGCACAUUUUGGUCAAUACCCCAGGUUUCAGCACGCCCGUGGGCCGUGGUAACAGCAAUGAAUGGGCCAUCGUGGCCACCUGACUCGCCCGCCUUCAUAUUGUCACCCAUGAACACAAUGCCAGAUGCAUUAAAUGGAGGAAAUUCAGAGCGUGUAGACAUUGCUUCAGGUUCAACUUCAAUCCAUUGUCCAGUUUCAUGCUUCUGCUUCCACAGUUCAACAAAAUGGGAACAUGCCUUCCUAUUCAAUCAGCCAAAUUGAGGAAGUUAGCAUGAAAGAUGUCUGAUAAGAUGUACGUUAUAGUUUGAUGAAAUGACUAAACUUGUGUCGUUGUACAAAUUGAUGAACAAGUUCAAGAGAAGUAUUAAGACGGGAGCAUGGAAUAGUACAGUUUUCCACAGCUCAUGUUUCUCGUCUGAAUAAACCUUAUAAAACAUCUGAGGUAUCCACACUAUCCUGACAUGCUAAAGCAGAUGAUACAAGCGACAUGGGUAGGAGCCUCAAGAUCAAGCUAAAAGUACGAAAGAUAUUACGAUAACUAGCUCAGUCUAGCAUACAAAAACACUUGAGUAGUCUCAUUAUUCUUUGUUGCUCAGGAAAUUUGGAAGCACAGAAAUAGCCCGAUCUUCCGAUAGGUAUGGAUAAUUCGAUUGGUGGAGAACUCGAUGCUGAUAAUCCGAGCUUCUAAUCAGACACGAUUCGAACCCCUGCAACCGCUACACUGUUGCUCCGUUGGUUAUCAACCAAACACAACUCGAUUGACCUCGCCAAGAAGUUUUUCCCUGCAAGCGAAUCGAAAAACAUAAGAAAAAAGUAUAAACACGCAAUCUAAGAUUGCAGAUGUAUAUAAUAGAUCUAAGUAAAAGGUUCAAGCCCUCGAUUCAAAAGGACCAAUCGACACUAUCGAGGAGAUCGAGAACAGGAGCCUUGAAUCACAGUGAAAGGGCUUGUCGCCACAGUUACAAUAUAUUAAUCUCAGUUUCUCAAAGGAGAACUAGAACUAAACAAAACCCGAGUCUCUUAGGUGGGGGAGGCUACUAAGUUUAUAUGAAAAAGGGGCAAGCUAGGGUUGGGGACGACCAGGAGAGGGACGCCUACAACAUGGGCUUAAAGCCCGACUCAACUUGGCCCAAGUAACAUAUAUAUAAAUUAACAAGUAGAGAUACUAUACGAAUUAACCAAACUAAAACUAUAUAUAGUAAAUGGGCACGGGCUAAAAGUAAUAUAUGAUUUUGAGCUAAAUAAAUAUAGGGUUGGGUUGUGAAGGAGAUAUGGAUCUCGUAGCCACGAGUGAACCUGAGAGCUUAAAAAAACAGAGAGCGCCACACAUCGAUUAAAAGGUGGGCCGAAACAGAUAAAAGAUAAAAAAAGAAUCAUAUCGGCCCACAAUGAAAUGUUAAACAGAAGAACGCAAAUCUUGAAAACAUAUGGGUCGUUCAAAACCGACGGGCUAAUCUUUCUACGUGCUGGGCUGAUCCCAUGUGGGCCGAUACAGACACGUCAGGACAAGAAGACCCACCCGGCCAGGCCCAGACGCAGGAGACAAGAGAUUGAAGAGGAUAGAUCGAAUCAAUAGCCAACUCCUCUCGUCGUCCUCGUCUCCAAAUCGAGGCAUACCCCAACCCUAGCCAUCCCCAAUCCGGCCGCCGCGUCUACCGAUCCGUUAGAUCCAUGGCCGCCGCCGCCGCCGCCGCUGCCGGCGACUCCGCUGUACCCAACUGGGUGAUGCUGGAGCGCUGGGCCUUCCGGAGGGACGACCCCGCCUCCUUCCGCGAGGACAGGAGGACCUUCGCUUCCGGCACCACCUCCGCCGGCACUCAAUUCGACGUCUCCUUCAUCCUCGCCGAGCCUCCCACCCCCUCGCGCCUCUACCUCUCGUGGCCGGAAGGGCCCAAGAAGGGGGGCCAGGGCCUGGUCAUGGCGGCCAACCGCAACCUCGUCCUCUUCAGGCUCGACUCCCUCGUCGACGAAUCCGAGCCUUUCGGGGAGGUAGUGCAUGAUUACUUCAUCUACAUAGCUGAUCCCUCCUCACAGCAGACACCCCUGCUCAGACUGCUGCCCCCCUGCACCGAGUACAACGUUUAUUUUGAGAUGCAAGAUACUCGCGCGUUUCCGGUGCUGGCUGUUGGUCUGUUGUGCCAUGGCGAAGACGAGUUUGCCGUGGCGCAUCUGACCAUCAGGUCUCGCAAAAAAAAAUCAGGGUCUCGCAUAAAAAAAUCAGCUAUGCAAGCUGAGCUAUGCGUGCUACGCUCGUCAUUGUCCUGCAGUGAUGAUGCCAAAUGGGAGACCAAGGUCGUUCCGCUACAGUACCAAUACGAUGAUUUAUACUAUGAUUUUCUGAACUGGGAAGUGGAUGGUGUAGUUCCCUUCAAGAAUGCCUUGUGCUGGGUUAACUACUGUAGAGGCAUCCUUUUCUGCGACGGCGUCUUUGAAGACAGACCCAAGGUCUCCUACAUCCGCUUGCCUCUGGAUACUUCUUUCCGAGGGACUGGGACUGAUGCCGAUGCACUCAAGGGGAUGUACCGUGGCUUGUGUGUCACUGAAGGUGGCCAUCGGUUGGUAUUUGUUGAUGUUGCCCGUCAUGAUGGAAAAUGUUAUGGCCCGAGGAUGCCCAACACUGGUUUCACCCUCACCUCCCGGACAUUGAAGAUGACAGGGAAUUGCACCAUGCCGUGGGAGUGGAAUGAGGAUGCUGUUGUCACUUCAGAUGAACUAUGGCAUGCAAACACCAUGGAGAGUCUCCCUCAUGACAUUGUGAUGCUCCCAUUGCUGAGUAUGGAUAAGGCCAAUGUUGCGCACCUUUCAUUGCUUGACUGGGAUGGUGGCAGAUUCUCAUUAGUUUCCAUCGACUUGAGUAACAUGCAAGUGAUGGGCUCAGUCAUUACAUACCUCGAAGGGGAGGAUGAUCCUGCUGAUGCUGACAUCGUCAAGGCAAAGAAAGAAUUAUGUGCACACUUUAUUCCAUCCGAAUUCCCCAAGUUCCUGGGUCUCAGGUAACUUCAGCGUUGCCUCCCACUUUUACUUGAGCACAAUUUUUUUUCAUGCAGCCUUUUGCUCUCUUUUUUUCAGCAGUUAAGGUUUCUGCCAUGUUAUUCUUGAAACCUUUGAGGAAUCAACAGAAUGUGCUGGUUGCUGGGAGUAAUAUGGAUCAAUGUUUUCAAAUCUUUAUGUUGAGUCUAGUCGCUGGGGCACCAACUAGAUGGCUAAUCGUGACUAGGCAACGAUUAAAUUGCGAUUAGCUCUGAGACCAGUCGAUCCACCCUUGCCUAUAGUAGAGAAUGAUAGAGUAUAACACAAAGGUGACGAACUGAUCUCUUGGUUUGAGCCAACACAUAAUUGUUCUUUGUGGGUUCUUCAAUCUGAAAGUGCAUAAUAGCGUGCCAGCGUUGUGCUCUGUUUCCUUCACUAUUUUGAUUCUACAUGUCAAAUUAUUGAAAGGUUUUGUUCGGUUACCAACAACAUGGAUCCUUAGAAGUAGGUGGCACCCAGCGAAUCAGCAUCAUAUCGAAGAACCCCUAGGUCUUCUAAACAAACUGGCUGGAAUUGUGGAAAUCAAUUGAACUUAAUUAUAUCCAUAGUGCCUUCCUUGUAUAUCAUGUUUCAUUCAGCCAGUAGUAACCUCAGCAACUUGACGGUCUUGGGAAAUUAGGCAAUGGUAGUCUGCCCGAGGUUAAUAUAAAUGUUUCACAGCUUAAUCUGUUGCCUAACUGUUGCUUGUCACGUUGAUUCCAAAAUCGACCAUAUGCUAAGUUAUUUUUUCUGUAUGAUGUCCGAGACACCUGAGAAUCUUUUAUAAUUCUUGGUAACCAUGGAUACUGUCAAAAUAACUUCAGCAAUGGGUGAAUCUAAGACUAUGGGAAGCCUAAAUUUCAAUUUGUACAGAUUAUCUCUGCUGAAAAAUUGUUGAAAUCAUCAGCAUGUGCUGUAGCUGACAAUUAUUGUUUCCUAUUUGUAUUGAUGAAGUUCUUGCUACUGUAUUGCAGGGAGAGAGAGAACCAUCCAUAAGUCCUGUCACCAUAUCGGCUGGCCACCGUCGUCAUGUGUGUUGCUUCUUCAUUUUCCGGUUCUUAGAUGACGUUGUGCUGGAUUCUACUGCCGACUUUGUUGAUUGGCUACUUCAAUUCUGAGUUUAGUGCUCAGCCUUUGUGUGUUCCCUGCACUUGUGUACUAUAAAUAGCCAGGAAAAACACCUUUACCAGGCUCAUCCGUUGAACUAUAUGAUAAUGCUAGAUGAUGUGUCCAUGCCUUGCUAACGUCUUCUAAAUGCCAUGCGAGUUAAAAAUCCUGCAAUCAUGUUUCAUGGUAGCUUACCUUUGCACAAUGAAACUCCUCACUAAAAACACAGGUCAAUUUGAGGGACUAUUGUGUUAUUUUUACAGGGAUCUAAUGCCAUCAAUCAAAUUGUAAAAUACAGACAGGUGCGCGUGGAAUGGACACUUGUGUUCAUUCAGAUUUUUGUGAUAUUUCAUACCUAAUGAUUACCAGGUUGUCACGCCCCUACAUGCAAAAUUGGUCUACGAGAUGGGAUAUGAGCUCAAAAGGACGUGAGAGCUGUAUUAUCAUGUAGCUCAUGACCUGGCAGAAGUGAAUAGUUGCACGAAAUACAACAUUGCAAACAAGGUUUUAUUCAUUCUCUCUGCCGAUGGCACACGGUAGCAGAAGCAGUGCCACCAAUUGGUGAAAGAUUUUCAGUAAACUGAGUGUUUGACAGAACAAUAUGAUGCCACCAAAGCAAUCUGCAUGAGUUCUCUACCUCCGGAAGUCCAGAUGCUUGCUCUGUUUCAUUGCUGUAGCUCAUGGCAACUCUGGCAGCACCAUGGUCAUUUGCUGCACCAUUUUUCAGAAUAUGUAAAAUUCAAGUCAUACCAUGCAGUUGAUGGAGAUAAAUAUAUGCUCCAAAUGAAAUGAUUAAAAAAACAAUCAUAUUUAUUCUCCAGGCACCACUGGAACUCAUUCCCGAUGUCACUUGUCUCUGCCUGUGCCUACAUCGAGGAAGUAGCAUGCGAAUGAGAAAGAUGAAGAUAAGUACCAAGAGGUAAAUGUAUUCACUUGUCUCUGCAUGUGCCUACAUCGAGGAAGUAGCAUGCGAAUGAGAAAGACGAAGAUAAGUACCAAGAGGUAAAUACAUUCUUGGAUAAGGCCAAUGUUGCGCACCUUUCAUUGCUUGACUGGGAUGGUGGCAGAUUCUCAUUAGUUUCCAUCGACUUGAGUAACAUGCAAGUGAUGGGCUCAGUCAUUACAUACCUCGAAGGGGAGGAUGAUCCUGCUGAUGCUGACAUCGUCAAGGCAAAGAAAGAAUUAUGUGCACACUUUAUUCCAUCCGAAUUCCCCAAGUUCCUGGAUCUCAGGUAACUUCAGCGUUGCCUCCCACUUUUACUUGAGCACAAUUUUUUUUCAUGCAGCCUUUUGCUCUCUUUUUUUCAGCAGUUAAGGUUUCUGCCAUGUUAUUCUUGAAACCUUUGAGGAAUCAACAGGAUGUGCUGGUUGCUGGGAGUAAUAUGGAUCAAUGUUUUCAAAUCUUUAUGCUGAGUCUAGUCGCU